rnacentral:rRNA from 1 species
UACGAGGGGGGCAAGCGUUGUUCGGAAUUAUUGGGCGUAAAGGGCGCGUAGGCGGUGCGGUAAGUCACCUGUGAAAUCUCUGGGCUCAACUCAGAGUCUGCAGGCGAAACUGCCGUGCUGGAGUAUGGGAGAGGUGCGUGGAAUUCCCGGUGUAGCGGUGAAAUGCAUAGAUAUCGGGAGGAACACCUGUGGCGAAGGCGGCUACCUGGACAGAUACUGACACUGAGGCGCGAGAGCGUGGGAGCAAACAGG